CCUGCCCCUAAGGACGUUACAGUUACAUGUGACUGCUGUGUCACAUGCGUGUCAUUAGGUGGCAGAGAGGAGAGGCUUGUCUAUGCCCAGUGCUCUGGCCUGUGAGACACUGGGUGAUUGACAGUCUGACACU
rfam:Erinaceus europaeus unplaced genomic scaffold scaffold00328, whole genome shotgun sequence